rnacentral:miRNA from 14 species
AUGCAUCUUCAUCAGUGCAAGAA